rnacentral:lncRNA from 1 species
GCGGCCAGCGCGCAGAGAACAGCGUGCAUCACAGAAGAGACGGGAGAGAAACAGGGGUUGAGUGGCUGCAUGUGGGCCGAGUGGAGGUGCCCGGGCGUGUUCGGUCAUGAGGUAGCCUGGUAUCAUCCUCAUAUUUGAGACCGGUAUGAAUGGGAUGAAGUCUAUUUUAAACCUUAAAUUUAUACAGCUCAUCAAAAAUAAACCCUCACUUUUAAAUUCCUGAAAUCUAUACCCUGUACUUAUUUAUCCCGGUCAAUCUGGACCCUAGGCGUGUUUGGCGCCCUGGGAAAAGAAACAUCCUGACCGGGAUUAAACUCUACCUGUAACUUACAUCCUCACCCC